UCGCAGACCGAGCCAAGAGACCUUGAGGAAAGUGGUGCACCUGCCUUUGAGCCUGAAGUGAUAGAUCUCACAGGUGACGACAUCAUAGAUCUCACAGGUGAAUCUUCUGAGGCUGAAGUCAUCACUAUCAGUGACAAUGAGUCUCCUGUGGACAGGGAGCAGAGCCAGCAGCAGCCUCAUCUUUCCAGAGCAUCAGAGAAUUCUGUUGAGCCACUGGCAAGGAAUGAUGAAGAGAAACCAAUAGAAGAUGAUGGGUAUGUGAAAGUGUCUAUCAAAACAGUAAUUUCAGAUAAGUGGUUGAAAGAGGUUUUUGCCAAGCUUUUGGGUUCUGCCAAGCUCUGUGCAAGUACUUCAGACCUGGAAUGUAGUGGUCUGCCUGGAAGAGAAUUGAAAUAAACCCAGCAAAAUCCAGCAGAAGCCUUUUCUUCUGUGUUUGUGAAGCCUUGGCUUCUUAGAUGCUAUCCAUCUAACAGUGAAUGUAAGAGAAUGGCUGGCCACACUGAAAUGCUUGCCGUCCAUAAAAAUUCUUGGAAUGAUUGUAUUUCUGGGCUGGCAUGAUGCUGAAUCAGAAUAGGGGAUGUUUUAAAUGCCAACAUUUUCUUUGUUGGUAAUCUUUGGUGCCCAGUGAAAUUUUUCUCACCGUAUUUAAAU